rnacentral:rRNA from 1 species
GAUGAACGCUGGCGGCGUGCCUAAUACAUGCAAGUCGAGCGAACAGACGAGGAGCUUGCUCCUCUGACGUUAGCGGCGGACGGGUGAGUAACACGUGGAUAACCUACCUAUAAGACUGGGAUAACUUCGGGAAACCGGAGCUAAUACCGGAUAAUAUAUUGAACCGCAUGGUUCAAUAGUGAAAGACGGUUUUGCUGUCACUUAUAGAUGGAUCCGCGCCGCAUUAGCUAGUUGGUAAGGUAACAGCUUACCAAGGCAACGAUGCGUAGCCGACCUGAGAGGGUGAUCGGCCACACUGGAACUGAGACACGGUCUAGACUCCUACGGGAGGCAGCAGUAGGGAAUCUUCCGCAAUGGGCGAAAGCCUGACGGAGCAACGCCGCGUGAGUGAUGAAGGUCUUCGGAUCGUAAAACUCUGUUAUUAGGGAAGAACAAAUGUGUAAGUAACUAUGCACGUCUUGACGGUACCUAAUCAGAAAGCCACGGCUAACUACGUG